UCCCUGGUAGUAUAUCGGUUUAGUACACGCGCCUGUCACUGUGAAUCAACUUCCGCGCGAAAGCUGGGUUCGACUCCCAGCCAGGGAG
rnacentral:tRNA from 1 species